UUUCUUUCUUCCUCUUCUCAACUGAGCUAUUUACUGUCAGCGCCGUCUCUUUCUUCAUUUUAUUAGCUGAAUUAUUAGCUGUCAUGGCCGCCUCUUUGCUAGUCUUCUCAGCUGACCUAUUCAGGCUCUCUUCUACCAUAUCAAGGUCCGGAGUACUUGAGACCUUUUCCAAACUCUUUAGCUUUUCAAAUUCAAACUCUGACUGCAAUGAAUGUUCUACUACAGGAUUAUGAACCUUUCUCAAAUUGCGUUUAACCUUUUCAAGCUCAUUUUGUGGGUUUUCCUGCACGGGCUCAGCUGGGUGGCCGGAAAUUUUCCUCGGGUUACACUUGGGCUUAUCAAAUUCAGAGGUUGC
rnacentral:lncRNA from 1 species